rnacentral:lncRNA from 1 species
AUGCGUAUACUAUGUAUAUACAUAUAUACUAUCCGAUUUGUACUAAUAAUAUAUAUGUAUACAAUAUAUAUAUGAAAACUUAUGUAUUUGAUACGUGUUAAAUUCUUAUAAAUUAUAGGGAUUCUACUAACUAAACCUAUGUGUGUGACUCAGCAAGCCUAAAUCUAGAGUAGAUGACUAAUCAAAUUUCAACAAUAGUAUAAAUACUCUUCUACAUUCUAAUAAUAUUAGUAACUCACGCACACACAUAUCAGUAGAUAAAUUUUCAUGCAC